rnacentral:rRNA from 1 species
GGGGGAAUUUUGCGCAAUGGGGGAAACCCUGACGCAGCAACGCCGCGUGAGUGAUGAAGGCCUUCGGGUCGUAAAGCUCUGUCAGAGGGGAAGAAGUGUGGGGUGGCUAAUAUCCAUUUCACUUGACGGUACCUUCAAAGGAAGCACCGGCUAACUCCGUGCCAGCAGCCGCGGUAAUACGGAGGGUGCGAGCGUUGUUCGGAAUUAUUGGGCGUAAAGCGCGUGUAGGCGGUUUUUUAAGUCUGAUGUGAAAGCCCUGGGCUCAACCCGGGAAGUGCAUUGGAAACUGGGAGACUUGAAUACGGGAGAGGGCAGUGGAAUUCCUGGUGUAGGAGUGAAAUCCGUAGAUAUCAGGAGGAACACCGGUGGCGAAGGCGGCUGCCUGGACCGAUAUUGACGCUG